AUACCUGUCUCAGCCUUUUGGCUACGACCAAGUGCAGUCUCUCUUCUUAUCAGUUUAGUUUAUGAUACGAGGGUCAUCGACAGUUACGAUAUUGAUCUAAUUUCUCUCACGGGUGCAAGUCCAACGGUGCAGCCCUGCUGCCAUGGACUCGUACCACUCGCCUGGGUAUUGCACUAAAUGCACUAAGCUCGAUAUCACGAU
rnacentral:snRNA from 1 species